CCGCGGUAAUACGGAGGGUGCGAGCGUUUAUCGGAAUUACUGGGCGUAAAGCGCGCGUAGGCGGCUUGUUAAGGCGGAUGUGAAAACUCGGGGCUCAACCCCGAGACGCCAUCCGAUACUGCUGUGGCUUGAGUCUGGUAGGGGAACACGGAAUUCCUGGUGUAGCGGUGAAAUGCGCAGAUAUCAGGAGGAACACCGAUGGCGAAGGCAGUGUUCUGGGCCAGUACUGACGCUGAGGAGCGAAAGCGUGGGUAGCAAACAG
rnacentral:rRNA from 1 species